UAGAAAUCUAACCCGUCACCCUGGCUGUAGCUGGCGGGUUCCAUUCCUGUGCCACAGCGUCUCCAGCAGCACAUGACUGACUGACCAAUGGCUUUCAGUUUCAGGUCUUGGAGACAGUG
rnacentral:snoRNA from 1 species